rnacentral:rRNA from 1 species
UUGAACGCUGGCGGAAUGCUUUACACCUGCAAGUCGAACGGCAGCACGGGGGCAACCCUGGUGGCGAGUGGCGAACGGGUGAGUAAUACAUCGGAACGUGCCCGGUCGUGGGGGAUAACGUAGCGAAAGUUACGCUAAUACCGCAUACGAUCUGAGGAUGAAAGCGGGGGACCUUCGGGCCUCGCGCGAUCGGAGCGGCCGAUGUCAGAUUAGGUAGUUGGUGGGGUAAAGGCCUACCAAGCCGACGAUCUGUAGCUGGUCUGAGAGGACGACCAGCCACACUGGGACUGAGACACGGCCCAGACUCCUACGGGAGGCAGCAGUGGGGAAUUUUGGACAAUGGGCGCAAGCCUGAUCCAGCCAUUCCGCGUGCAGGACGAAGGCCUUCGGGUUGUAAACUGCUUUUGUAUGGAACGAAAAGGCUCUGGCUAAUACCUGGGGCUCAUGACGGUACCGUAAGAAUAAGCACCGGCUAACUACGUG